UCUGCCAGGAGGGCAGAAGACUUUGGCUUGCAGUCCUCAAAGUGCUGUGCUUGAGAAGUUUGAUGACCAACCGUGAGACCGCCAGCUCUGGAAGCCACUGCAGCUCCACGGAAGCCAGCAGCACUGACCACCCAUGGAGAAUCCUACACCAGGAACCUAGCAGAUGUCCUCCUGCUGCCACUCAUGUGAAGGGGGAGGCAGAAAUGAGAAAGUAAAUGAGAGGCGGAACAGCCUAGUGCGACGUGCAGGAUACAACCCACAGCGAUAGUCUAAGAAAUGUUAACCAUGAUAUUGGUCUACAUAGAACAAAAACACAGUUCCACUGCAUUUCAGCAUCAUACUUCCACCAUCAUCGUUGUCUCCUCAGUUUGGUUUGAACUACGGGUUCUCAUGAAGACUUUGGUGAUGCGAUAAUCUUUCAACUGGAGCAGACUAUGACUGGACAGAGUCACCUCUGGGAAGAAACUCUGAUUCACUGAAGCACAAUACAGCCAUCAGACAAAGAAUUAUGCCCUGUGUGUCUUUCACUGUUGGGAGCUGCUUGCAGAGCGAUCCUCAGCCAUGGUAGAAAAGAGCGGGAGCGUGCCCACCACCUCCCUGUCAUUGCUGGCAAGGCGAGCCCCCAUGCUGAGCCAGCACAAGGGCCACCCACGCUCUGACAUAAUGUUUUCCCAUAGUCUACUUCCUUUCCUUCAGAAAAUUUCCAUUUACAGUUCAUGUCCUGUGUGGCACUGGUUUACACAUACCAGCGUUCAGUCAGCAUCUCUCAACAGCAAGGACAACGGGGUAAAGGUCAUGCAAUUUGCAGGCAAACCUUCCCAUCAAGAUGUUUGAGAUCUGGAGGACCAUUGCAGACCUGCUUUCAGAAUCUGGUCUGAUCCGCUGCACAGCAUUGUGCAACCGGCCAUUCUGUAACAGAGAACAAUAUUGACUCCACUUAUCAUCUCUGCCCUUCGUUAUUGGCACCAGAUGAGAAGGAAAAAAAUCAGCUCCGAGAUAGUGAGAUGGAGAAAUGUCCUAAAAGUUAAAAACCCAGGGAAUCUUUGAUCUAGACAGUGCCCAGUUCAUAGUGAGAUACAUAUCCUGCUGAGGGCCUCAGAGGGGAAAAAAAGUGAGAAACUGAAUGGCUUUUAUCCUGUCGUCAUAUUGCAAACCUAAAGGUGCUAAUGCUGAAAGACAGAAAACACAGGAAAAAGCCUUUUCCUUCAGCUGAUCUUCUCUUUGUAUGACUCCAAAAUCUUUGUAUGACUUAACACUGAAAAAAAGCCAAACCCUUCUAUACGGGAGAGACCUGAGCAUGAGCUGUAUUAGUCAUAAUGUACAUUACUACGUGCUGUUGAAGUGAGUUAUGUGGAGAGUGUGGGUAUCAGACAGUACAAACACACUAUUGUCCACGCAUAGUAUUCAAUAACCAAAGUCUAUCUUGCCCUGUCAGUAGGGCAAAUGAUUUUUUUCCCAUUAUAUAGAAAAUGAAAGAUAAAAUAAACAAAAAAAUACAGAUCAAAUUUGUGCUGACCUAGAACAGGGUUAUUCAAGUGGCAGCAUAACAGCAAAAUCAUCUUUGAACCAUUCUCAACUGAACCACGCUUAUGUGAGAUGAAAAUGUUGUCUUUAAAUGGGAAGGGAGAAAAGGUGAAAAAAACAGAGGUGAAAAGACAAGUGUGAGAUUUACUAACUCAGAGACAAGCGGUCCAUAUAUUUUCACAGAGCAAAUCUCCUUGGAGAAACUGGAAAAUAAGUCACAUAAUAAUUGCCAAAUCUCUCAUUUUAUUAAGGUGGCCCCUUCUCAAAUGAAUGUGCAUUAACUUUAUACAGUUGCGACCACAGUUUCAAAGUAAAAGGAAAUCCUGCAGUUCACUUCAAUUAGGAAGGGAUUGGCCUCUAUGUUUUCUACUAUUUUUCCCAGCCAUGUUUGGUUUUAACACAAAUGCAUCUGAUGCUUUUUCUCGUAUUUGGGAGACUAUUAAAAGAACCAGACAUAGCAACGUGAUGCCCACAAUUUCAGGCAAUAUUCAGAGCGACAUUUAAUCUCUGCAUCACCUCCUGCCAAAACCAAACCAUAGCACAGUGCCGUAGUAUGGGAAAGGCAAGAAGAAUCCAUUGUCCUCGCUGCGGUUCCAGCAGCUGUUAUUACUUAUGUUCUACGAGACCGCUCUGGUUGCGCAUUCACCUCAAUUUCAGAUCCAACUAAAAACUUGAGAAUUCCACAGGCUUUGUCAGCAAUUCCAGUUGGAGUGAAAUCAUCAGCCGUGCCUGCACUUGACUGGCAUUUUAAUGAAAGAGAGGAACAUGAACCUAUGCAUCAUAGUGCAAGGCAUUUAGAAACUGCUUCUUCAUGGUAACAGACACUGCUAGAACUUGCUAAGUGCUUGCUGACACCUAGUUCCAAACUGGAUUUCAACUGGAUUUCAAUGGGAACUCUUCUAAAGCAGGGAUUUCGAGCUGGACUUGUGCAUUUUGUUUAUGCCUGCUAGUUUUAAUUUCAGUUCCCCAACUCUGUACAAUUUUGGGUGAGAGCAAUACAGCUUCAGGACUCUAUUCUACACGACAUCUGCACUGUUCAGUAAACUUAUCCACAAAGAAGGAAGUCAUGGCAUAGCUUCCAAUUCUAUCACUAACUAAGCAACCAUAUAAUAAUUUCACUUUUUGAUGUCACAGAACUACUUUUUAUGUAGCAUCAAGAAAUAUACUUGGUUUUCCUCACUAAAAUCUUUCUUUCUUUAUGGCUUUCUGUGUCGUGCCACAGCAAAACAACAGCUUCCUCUUUAGAGGAGGAAGAACAGCAAUACAUUUUCUUAUCAAUACAGAAUUGUUACUAAUAAAAUGGCCCAGCCCUUAACUUUGUUUACUCCAGCAAGGCAACCACUAAGGAAGAAUAUGCUCAGUGAUGAAGAUUUGGCAAGCCAGAAACCAUAUUUUGUUUUCCAUGUU